rnacentral:rRNA from 1 species
CUACGGGACGCACCAGGCGCGAAACCUUUACAAUGUACGUAAGUGCGAUAAGGGAACUCCCAGUGCUCAUGUAAUGCAUGGGCUUUUGUUAAGUGUAAAUAGCUUGGCGAAUAAGUGGUGGGUAAGACGGGUGCCAGCCGCCGCGGUAACACCUGCGCCACAAGUGGCAUUCACGUUUACUGGGCCUAAAGCGUUCGUAGCCGGAUAGGUAAGUCUUAAGUGAAAUCGUUGCGCUUAACAAAACGACGUGCUUGAGAUACUGUUUAUCUUGGAACCGGGGGGAGUUAGGGGUAUUCCAGAGGGAGCGGUAAAAUGCUAUAAUCUCUGGAGGACCACCUGUGGCGAAGGCGCCUAACUAGAACGGGUUCGACGGUGAGGAACGAAAGCCAGGGGAGCAAAACGGAUUAGAUACCCGCGUAGUC